UACGUAGGGUGCGAGCGUUGUCCGGAAUUGUUGGGGGGAAAGAGCUCGUAGGCGGUUUGUCACGUCUGCUGUGAAAUCCCGAGGCUCAACCUCAGGCCUGCAGUGGGUACGGGCAGACUGGAGUGCGGUAGGGGAGAAUGGAAUUCCUGGUGUAGCGGUGGAAUGCGCAGAUAUCAGGAGGAACACCGAUGGCGAAGGCAGUUCUCUGGGCCGUAACUGACGCUGAGGAGCGAAAGCGUGGGGAGCGAACAGG
rnacentral:rRNA from 1 species